GGUGCGGUAGUUCAGUCGGAUAGAAUACCGGCCUGUCACGCCGGGGGUCGCGGGUUCGAAACCCGUCCGCACCG
rnacentral:tRNA from 2 species